AAGUCGUAACAAGGUUUCCGUAGGUGAACCUGCGGAAGGAUCAUUAACACGUAUCCAAACGUAAAAAACCCCCCCCGUGAACAUUCAAUCCUGCUCUUGUAACCCGCGUAGUUCGCAAUCUCUGGUAAAUCAUAGCCCGGAAAGUAGUUUUGAUUCAGAGACCUCUGGCUACGUGAGAACAUUGGAACAGUUACAAUCGAGCGGUAGUUUCAUAGGCAUUGUUUCCCCAAGCAGUCAGUGUCUGAAAGUGUCACUGAUUGUGCAAGGAUAGCGCUUCAACGAUUCCUGUAGACCGUACACUCGGGCAGGAGCUAUGCCAAAGGGUCCCCACUCAAUGUAAUACAUUGGGUAAAAAAACCGAACAACUGUUAACAAUGGAUAUCUUGGUUCUC
rnacentral:misc_RNA from 1 species